CUCAUUGGCUGGGCUGGGAGGAAUAGAUAGAGGGAGCAAAGAAAAGGAGGAAGAAACCAACCAAACUAAAAAAACAAAGCUAGUGAGAGAAAAAGAAAAAGCACUACCCCAAUUAGGCCUCACCUUCAAAGGUAAAACCCCACCUUCAUUUCUCCCACACAAUCUCUCUCAAAUAUCUUGAUUUUUUUUGGUUUUGCCACAGUUUUCUUUUUGGUCAUGGGUUGAAUAAUUUGGAGCUCCUGUUGCUGCUUUUGUUAAUCUAGAGGUUUUGAAGGUGCUACCCCUUUGUUUGCAGGGGUUGUUUGAAGAUUUUUGAUUUAGGGUUUUAGGUGUGAUUUCUGGGUUUUGGGUGUGGAGGUUUUUGGGUUUCAAAUCUGUUGGUUUUGGGUGGUGGGGUUGUUUGAGGGGGUUUAAGUGUUUGGUGCUGUGGUUUUUGGGGCUCUUGGGUUGGGGAUUUGGGUUUAAGGUUUGGUACAUUUUUUUGUUUCCCUCUCUGCAUUUGAGGGAAUCUAGGGUUGGAUAUUUGGUUGAUGGAAGGGCUGCUGGGUUAUUACUGAGGUGUUGUUCGGGCUCAAUUUUGGACAUUUGUUUACAAUUAGUGCAAUUUUGAUGAUUUUGAGCUCUGAUUGUGGGGUCCAGAGUGCAGAUUUGGAGCUGAAGUUUUUUUUCAGCUUUGGAAUCCUAAGCAGUGUGUUUAUUACAGAUUGAAAUUCUGACCAAGUUCAGGUUCAGGUUCAGGUUCAGGUUUCCGAAUUUUGAUGUAAAAAUUUGGGAUUCUGAAGUCUUUUAAGGAUUUUGAAAGAAUUUAUAGUGUGAAGAUGGCUGCCGAGUCGAACACUGGCUUUCACUUGCAGAAUCUAGGUUCAGCUAUGAACCGGCAUGCGAUAUCUUUUCAGUCAGGUGCAAUAAAUAGUACAUCUGAAAUGAUUCCAAUGGCCAGUUACUUUGGGGUAACUAAUACAGCCGGCAUGAUCAUGCCGGGAAAUUCCAACAUCAUUAACAACAACCCAGUGAUUACUCAAGCUGGGAAUUCUUCUGGUUCUCUUCUCCUUGAUUCAGUGCCAGGGUUGAAGCAUGAUACUGGCUUGGCAGUUGAGUGGUCUAUAGAGGAACAGUACAGAUUGGAGGAAGGUCUUGACAAGUAUGUACUUUGUUCAAGGUUUGCUGAUGAACCAAGUAUUAUGAGGUACAUAAAGAUUGCAGCUACAUUGCGUGACAAAACUGUACGGGAUGUUGCCCUGAGGUGUAGGUGGAUGACGAGAAAAAGAAGGAAACAGGAAGAGCACAAUAUGGGAAAGAAAGUGAACAUUAGGAAGGAUAAGCUGGUGGAAACAUCUUCAAAGGCUAUUAUACCUUCAGCUCCACCACUGGAUGUGGCUACAUAUUCUCUUAUGAUGCAACAUAUGGACCGGAAUGAACACUUGCCCUGCGAAGUCUCAGCAUUAAACGACACAGCCAAACAUCUUUUGGAACAGAAUGCUCAGGUUUUUAAUCAAAUCACAGCUAACCUUUCUACUUUCAAGUUACAGGAUAACAUUGACCUCUUCUGUCGCACGAGGGAUAACAUUACUGCCAUCCUAAAUGACAUGAGAGAUAUGCCUGGCAUAAUGAGCCACAUGCCACCACUCAAUGUGUACAUCAAUGAGGAUCUUGCAAAUAGUAUUCUGCCUAAUACAUCUCAGUUUUUUAUGUGAUUGUCUGGAAACAUGCUUGAAAUCCUUAGGGUUGUCUCACAAUUCAUCGCUAUGAGUAAUACAAACACAAUGAUGUAUGGCUUGCCGAGUGGAAUCCAUGUGAAGCAGGAGCCGAGAUGCUGAUGGAGUAUUCUUGAGAUAAGAGUUGAAUUUAUGUGGUCUUUAUGUAAGUACAAAAAUUUUUCUGCUGUAAAUGCAUUAAAAAAAGGAAGAAAAAAAAAGCAAAAAAAAAAAAAAAAAAAACAAAAAAAAGAAGAAAACCCUGGUAGGAGCGGUUUCUUCCUUUUGUGUACACAAGAAAAACUCAUCAUAGGUUGGGUCCCAUGAUGGAAAAAUUUGUAGAGAAGCCAUUUUUGGAACCUGAAAUGUUGAGCUCACCAGAUAAUGAAACCCCAAGCAUUGGAUAAUAAAAAUGCAGAGACUCCUGGCCCUCCUGGGAGAGAGCGUUCUAACCAGAUCUCUGAAUUUUGGGUUCAAAAAGGAAAAAAAAAAAGGAAAAAAGAAAGGGGCAAAAAAAAAAAAAAGACCAGAAGCUUUUUAUGUGUAUAAAAUUAUUUAUGUGACCCAAGUGAACCUUUGGAGUAGACCCUCUGUUUGGUGCUUGAUUUUUACCUGCAUUUUUCAGUAUUUAUUAUUAUGCUCUCUAUUAUAAGACCCAUUUUAAUUAGGGUAUUUUUUUUCCCAAGAAAUUUGUCAAAUUUUAUUAUUGCUUUUGUUAGUUAGUGAGAUGAGGUAUUUGUCUA